UAGAGUUUCGAGAUAGAGUUUAAAGCUUAGAGAAGAACGUAUCUGGGGGUCUCUUUUUAUAGACGAAGAGCGUAACUAAUUAACAACGAUGUCUGUAACCGUCUGGUAGUGGGCUGUUCAGAGCCGCGCGAUGUUUGUUACAGAGAGUAGUGGUGUCAGGGAUCAUUCAGAGCCAUGUGGAGUUUGUUACGGAGUGUGGAGUGGUGUCCGUUAUCAUGACUUGCUAGAGAGUGGUAGAGCCCAAAGUGUGGAGUGGUGUCCGUUGUCGCGACUCGCCAGAG
rnacentral:lncRNA from 1 species